rnacentral:rRNA from 1 species
GACGAACGCUGGCGGCGUGCUUAACACAUGCAAGUCGAACGGAAAGGCCCUGCUUUUGUGGGGUGCUCGAGUGGCGACCGGGUGGGUAACACGUGAGUAACCUGCCCUUGACUUUGGGAUAACUUCAGGAAACUGGGGCUAAUACCGGAUAGGAGCUCCUGCUGCAUGGUGGGGGUUGGAAGGUUUCGGCGGUUGGGGAUGGACUCGCGGCUUAUCAGCUUGUUGGUGGGGUAGUGGCUUACCAAGGCUUUGACGGGUAGCCGGCCUGAGAGGGUGACCGGCCACAUUGGGACUGAGAUACGGCCCAGACUCCUACGGGAGGCAGCAGUGGGGAAUAUUGCACAAUGGGCGGAAGCCUGAUGCAGCAACGCCGCGUGCGGGAUGACGGCCUUCGGGUUGUAAACCGCUUUCGCCUGUGACGAAGCGUGAGUGACGGUAAUGGGUAAAGAAGCACCGGCUAACUACGUG